CACGUAGGGGGCGAGCGUUGUCCGGAUUCAUUGGGCGUAAAGAGCUCGUAGGCGGCUCAGUAAGUCGGGUGUGAAACCCUCAGGCUCAACCUGGGGACGCCACUCGAUACUGCUGUGGCUAGAGUCCGGUAGGGGAGCGUGGAAUUCCUGGUGUAGCGGUGAAAUGCGUAGAGAUCAGGAAGAACAUCGGUGGCGAAGGCGCUCUGCUGGACCAUAACUGACACUCAGGGACGAAAGCUAGGGGAGCGAAUGGG
rnacentral:rRNA from 1 species